CCUACGGGUGGCAGCAGUGAGGAAUAUUGGUCAAUGGGCGAGAGCCUGAACCAGCCAAGUCGCGUGAAGGAUGAAGGAUCUAUGGUUUGUAAACUUCUUUUAUAUGGGAAUAAAGUGAGGAACGUGUUCCUUUUUGUAUGUACCAUAUGAAUAAGCAUCGGCUACCUCCGUGCCAGCAGCCGCGGUAAUACGGAAGGUCCGGGCGUUAUCCGGAUUUAUUGGGUUUAACGGGAGCGUAGGCCGGCUUUUCAGUCAGCUGUGAAAGUCCGCGGCUCAACCGUGGAAUUGCAGUUGAAACUGGAGGCCUUGAGUGCACACAGGGAUGCCGGAAUUCAUGGUGUAGCGGUGAAAUGCUUAGAUAUCAUGAAGAACUCCGAUCGCGAAGGCAAGUGUCCGGGGUGCAACUGACGCUGAGGCUCGAAAGUGUGGGUAGCAAACAGGAUUAGAUACCCCUGUAGUC
rnacentral:rRNA from 1 species